UGUGGAAGGGACCUACAACUGAUUAAUCAAUGGUCGAAAAGCUGUGCCAUACGAGAUAUACCUGAUACCUCUACUUUAUGGACCUUCUUGCUUAAAAUAAUAGGGAUGAAAUAGCUAAUUGAAGUGUUUGGGCAUAUGAUCUUCCAGGUGAAUGAUGCCAUUGAACAGCUUCCGGAGUACAUAGCAGAGUAGGGGAAGUAAUGGUGUAUGAUGCUGAAGAGGACGAAUUUGAGGUAGAUGGGGAUAUCACACAGGUGACAGUUCAUCCCAUUACAUGGUUUGGGAUGCUUUAUCCGCUCAACUGUUUGUUGAUUCAUGCGCUUGCUUAGGAAAUCAUGCAGUGUCCAACUUUAAUUUGGUUCAAGGAUAGUUUCCAUUUGAGUUCCGCACAAACUUGGCAUUUGUGUGUUGCCCAGUGUUUAGAAUAGGUAGCUGAAUAUUUGAAAUACAUUUCUCUUAAUGUCUCAAGUUUAGAUAUACAUUAGCUUUCCAUAAUUUAUUGCAGCUCAUCAUUUUCGGCUGAUCUAGAAUUGAAGCGUGGCGAUGGGGGUUGUCCCGUUAACCUGUGCACCUACUACUCGCUCAGUGGCCACGCCCCCGCACUGGUCGUGCUACUCUGGAACUUCACCGUGAAACGGCAGAUGGUACUAUCUAUUAUGUUUUCAGAAGAACUGGAAUGAAGGAGCUGACAUAAUGCAUUUCUUUAUAUUCUUCUUUGCUUCAUACUCAGGAUUCUCAACCUUUGGGAAAGAUAGCUAG